rnacentral:rRNA from 1 species
UAACGUGUGGGCAACCUGCCCUGCACUGGGGAAUAAUCAUUGGAAACGAUGACUAAUACCGCAUACGGUUCCCGGGAGGCAUCUUCCGGGAAAGAAAGGAUUUAUUCGGUGCAGGAUGGGCCCGCAUCUGAUUAGCUAGUUGGUGAGAUAACAGCUCACCAAGGCGACGAUCAGUAGCCGACCUGAGAGGGUGACCGGCCACAUUGGGACUGAGACACGGCCCAAACUCCUACGGGAGGCAGCAGUGGGGAAUAUUGCACAAUGGGCGAAAGCCUGAUGCAGCAACGCCGCGUGAAGGAAGAAGGGUUUCGGCUCGUAAACUUCUAUCAACAGGGACGAAAGAAAUGACGGUACCUGAAUAAGAAGCCCCGGCUAACUACGUGCCAGCAGCCGCGGUAAUACGUAGGGGGCAAGCGUUAUCCGGAAUUACUGGGUGUAAAGGGUGAGUAGGCGGCAUGGUAAGCCAGAUGUGAAAGCCUUGGGCUUAACCCAAGGAUUGCAUUUGGAACUAUCAAGCUAGAGUACAGGAGAGGAAAGCGGAAUUCCUAGUGUAGCGGUGAAAUGCGUAGAUAUUAGGAAGAACACCAGUGGCGAAGGCGGCUUUCUGGACUGAAACUGACGCUGAGGCACGAAAGCGUGGGGAGCGAACAGGAUUAGAUACCCUGGUAGU